rnacentral:lncRNA from 1 species
AACACAGAUUGCUUCUCACAUUCAUUUAUCAUCAUUCCAGGAAAUUCAUCAUGACAUAGAUUUUGUCACAACUAAUCCUUCCAAAAGCAGAAGUGUGCAUGAUAUGAUCCAGCUUAAGAGAUAAUCAGAAACAAGAGAGGAAACAAACACUUCUGUUUUUAUUUGAUGAGACCACUACAAAAACAGAGAGAACUUUUUCAGAAGACUGAGGGAGAAGACAGUUUUAUAACCUUGUUCACUGUUUUGUUUUCUCUGUGGCAGUUAAUAGAGAGAGGAACAUUUUCAGAUGAAUCAACAAAGUUAGAACCACUUUCAUCCUUUCUACACAAACGAUAUGUUGUAUUCCCGUCUGAUAGACCUAUGAAGGGAAAGCAGCUCAGGAUGGCCAAUGGUUUCCCUCACCAGUGCAGUCACUAAAGAGAAUCAAGAAUCAGGAAGUCAGACUACACUCUGCAAUUGCUUCUUCAAACCUUAAAAAUCAAGGAGACAUGGAGCGAAUGACUGUAUUGGGUUUGAGUCAAUGGAGAAUUACGUUCUGCUGCAUCUGGAGAGGAUAAGAAUUUGCAGGAAUCGUGGUAAAAUAUCUGUACUAAAAAAGGAAUGAGUUGUUUCAAAUAAAAAAUUUGUGUGACUUGUUGCUAAUUCCAAAGAAAGAGGAUAGAGAUUAAAUAUGAGGCACAGGCUGUAAACUAUUCAGGAUGGCUUUCAUAGCUCAAAGGGUAUAAUUAAAAGUAUGGAACAAACUGCCAAAGUCUACGAUGGAAAUGAAUAGUGUAACACCAGGUCAAAAGGGAUCUGGACUCAUUUCUGGAAGAAGAGACAAUGCACAGCUGUUAGAGUGUAUUUUAAAGGAUGAAGAUGAUCAGUUACUGCAUGAAUUGAUUGGUAUUUCCUGGGCAUGUUCUGUUAGAAUUUUAGUAUCUCCUGGACCUUCGGUCGUUGUUUGUUUCUGGCAACUGCAUCCAUACAGGAGCAAAUGUCUUCCAUUGACUUGAAAUUUAUAUUGUAGAAUAAAAUUACUGUUUUCUCCAGCAAAAAUUCCUCGGUGGAAAGGAAUUUUCAUAUUAUUGCCAUGACAUCAGUUCAUUCAGAAAAGAUAAGCAGCUAACUACAUACCCUGGAGUCUUGUAUUCUCUUAAAUCAUCAGAAUCUGGGAG